rnacentral:rRNA from 1 species
AUUGAACGCUGGCGGCAUGCCUUACACAUGCAAGUCGAACGGCAGCACGGGAGCAAUCCUGGUGGCGAGUGGCGAACGGGUGAGUAAUAUAUCGGAACGUGCCCAGUCGUGGGGGAUGACGUAGCGAAAGCUACGCUAAUACCGCAUCCGAUCUACGGAUGAAAGCGGGGGAUCGCAAGACCUCGCGCGAUUGGAGCGGCGGAUAUAAGAUUAGCUAGUUGGUGAGGUAAAGGCUCACCAAGGCGACGAUCUGUUGCUGGUCUGAGAGGACGACCAGCCACACUGGAACUGAGACACGGUCCAGACUCCUACGGGAGGCAGCAGUGGGGAAUUUUGGACAAUGGGCGCAAGCCUGAUCCAGCAAUGCCGCGUGCAGGAUGAAGGCCUUCGGGUUGUAAACUGCUUUUGUACGGAGCGAAACGGUCUUCUCUAAUACAGGGGGCUAAUGACGGUACCGUAAGAAUAAGCACCGGCUAACUACGUGCCAGCCGCCGCAGUAA